GCCCCGGUAGCUCAGCGGACAGAGCAGCGGCCUUCUAAGCCGUCGGUCGGGGGUUCGAAUCCCUCCCGGGGCG
rnacentral:tRNA from 1 species